UAUCCUGGAUUGAAUCUUGAAAAGUUAAAAAAAAGAGGAAACUUUGUGUUCAAAGGACAGGAGUUAGAAAUUCAAUAUCUGGCAUCAUUGGUUUUCUUGGCUUUGUCCAUGAUAAAACUGGUAUUUCUAUUGAUAACAGUA